GGAGUUUGAGCCUGGCUCACAGCGAACGCUGGCGGCGUGCUUAACACAUGCAAGUCCAACGCGCAGCAUUCUGUAGCAAUACAGGAUGUGGGCGCGUGGCGAACGGGUGCGUAACACGUGGAUAACCUUCCUUCAGGUGGGGAAUAACCCCGCGAAAGCGGGGCUAAUACCGCAUAACAUGACGAUGCCACAUGGUGUUGUCUUCAAAGCCGCAAGGCGCCAGAAGAGGGAUCCGCGGCCGAUUAGCUUGUUGGCGAGGUAAUGGCUCACCAAGGCUUUGAUCGGUAGCCGGACUGAGAGGUUGGCCGGCCACACUGGAACUGAGACACGGUCCAGACUCCUACGGGAGGCAGCAGUGGGGAAUCUUGCACAAUGGACGAAAGUCUGAUGCAGCAACGCCGCGUGGGGGAUGAAGCUUUUCGGAGUGUAAACCCCUUUCGACCCGGAAGAAUGCCCGCAAGGGUUUGACGGUACGGGUAUAAGAAGCCCCGGCUAACUACGUGCCAGCAGCCGCGGUAAUACGUAAGGGGCCAGCGUUGCUCGGAAUUACUGGGCGUAAAGGGUCCGUAGGCGGUGUGGCAAGUCGGGAGUGAAAUCUCUGGGCUUAACCCAGAGGCUGCUUCCGAAACUGCCAUGCUAGAGUGUGAGAGAGGCGAGUGGAAUUACAGGUGUAGCGGUGAAAUGCGUAUAUACCGUAGGAUAUCCGAGGCAAAGCGGCUCGCUGGAUCACAACUGACGCUGAGGGAUAAAGCUAGGGGAGCAAACUGGAUUAGAUACCCUGGUAGUCCUACCC
rnacentral:rRNA from 1 species